UUGACUUAUAAAUAGUUAAUGUAUUACAGAGACGCUGUCAACGACUUGUGGAAUGUGGAGUUUAUUGGCGACAUCACUUAGAUUCGACCACUUUCCACGUUCCACUUCAUAGUAGUUAUAUUUAUUUGUAAAAGACACGCAAGAACGAUAUACUCCACGAACGAUUGUCGACACCAAUUGCCGUGCUGAUCAGUGACACCUAGUAGAGGAAUUUUGUACAGAUUAAUGACGUAACGACUGUUUUCCGUCGUCUGCAUUUUCUUUAGUGGUGGACGAACGCUUUAACGCUUUCCUCUCUUGUAACUCACAAUCACAAUGGCUUCAAUUUGAGCUUAAUUUCUUACGACAAUUUAAGCUUCAACAUGUUCCAACUGGUGUAGUGUUCAUUAGAAGGUUGCUGACGGACUUAUUCUUUGACGGUUACUGACAGUUGUGAAGCCAUCAAGCCAGGAUGGAAACAGAGUUUGCUUUGAUUUUCUAUUCUCUCUAUAAACUUAUGUUGUGAAAUAUUUUUAAUAUGUCUGUAUAAGUGUGCGCAGUUGAGAGGAGAAAGGAAAAAUUUCCUCAGAUAAGGGGAAAAGUGAGCUGACUUGUGUUGAAAGAACAGCAGCUCUACAUAAUAAUACAUUUAGUAAAAGUAGAGUUGGAAUAUUUUGGGAUAGUCAAAGGUGUUUGUAUCAUAUACUUUCAAACUCAUAUCUCUCAACUCAUAUGCGGAAAAUCAAAUAAAAAAUAAAUGAUGUAAAAUUGUGUUAUAUUUGCCCAC